rnacentral:rRNA from 1 species
GACGAACGCUGGCGGCGUGCUUAACACAUGCAAGUCGAACGGUGAAGCGCCUUCCUUUUUGGUGGGUGUGGAUGAGUGGCGAACGGGUGAGUAACACGUGAGUAACCUGCCCCCUUCUUCUGGAUAACCGCAUGAAAGUGUGGCUAAUACGGGAUAUUCUGGGUCUGUCGCAUGAUGGGUCUGGGAAAGAUAUUGUUUCGGUGGGGGAUGGGCUCGCGGCCUAUCAGCUUGUUGGUGGGGUGAUGGCCUACCAAGGCGGUGACGGGUAGCCGGCCUGAGAGGGUGGACGGUCACACUGGGACUGAGACACGGCCCAGACUCCUACGGGAGGCAGCAGUGGGGAAUAUUGCACAAUGGGCGCAAGCCUGAUGCAGCGACGCCGCGUGAGGGAUGGAGGCCUUCGGGUUGUGAACCUCUUUCGCCAGUGAAGCAGGCCUGCCUCGUUUGUGGGUGGGUUGACGGUAGCUGGAUAAGAAGCGCCGGCUAACUACGUG